UUGAACGCUGGCGGCGUGGCUAAAACAUGCAAGUCCAGGAGACCCGCAAGGGAAAACUGGCGCAAGGGUGAGGAAUACAUUCGAACGUGCCCCAAGGUGGGGGAUAGGCGAGGGAAACUUCGCGUCAUACCCCAUGUGCUCUUCGGAGGAAAGCUUCGGCGCCUCGGGAGCGGCGCAUGUCCUAUCAGGUAGUUGGCGGGGUAAUGGCCCACCAAGCCGAAGACGGGUAGCAGGUGUGAGAGCACGGCCUGCCACAUCGGGACUGAGACACGGCCCGGACUCCUACGGGAGGCUGCAGUAACGAAUAUUCCGCAAUGGGCGCAAGCCGGACGGAGCGACGCCGCGUGCAGGAUGAAGCGGCUUUGCCGUGGAAACUGCUGUCAGGGGCUACUAACACUGAAGAGCCCCAAAGGAAGGGCCGGCUAAUCCUGU
rnacentral:rRNA from 1 species